rnacentral:lncRNA from 1 species
ACGUUUUUGAAAAUAUUACACAGAAUGCAUUAGAUUCUGCAUGGGCAAAUGAUGUGCAUUGUUAGAAAAUAACCCUCAUGGUUAGUCAAGGUUAUCAAAACCCCCGUAGUAAGUAAAUCAAAUGUGUAAAAAAGAUUAGAAAAAGGAGUAGCAUGUAGGCAUAACAAGGUGUUUUCCUUAUUUCUAGUGAAAAUAUCUCAUAUUUCCAAACAACGAUUAAAUAUUUUUUCUGCAAUUGAAAUG